AUGACCCAAAGGCAGUCGAAUGUGAACCCGAAAGCUAUCAAGCUACUACUGUUUCCAUUCUCUUUUACCGGGGAAGCUUAGACUUGGCUAAAUUCGCUCCCUAUCAAUUCCAUAGCCACUUGGGAGGAAUUAGUCAAGCAGUUUCUGAAUAAGUUCUAUCCACCCAAUAAGACUGCAAGACAAAUUGAUGAAAUAUUGCAGUAUAAGCAGCAGCCGACUGAGUCCUUGCAAGAAAUGUGGGAAAGAUUUAAUGUUAUGCUAGUGAAGUGCCCUCACCAUGGAAUUCCAGACCAGAUGCUUGCCAGAGAUUCUACAUGGGAUUAGCUGACAAUUUAAAGGAAAAUGUGGAUGCUUCUGGGGGAGGUGCAUUUUUGAGUAAGACAUUCACCGAGUGCAAAAUCUUUCUUGAUAAGAUGUCAUAAAAUUCGGGGUGGAUGACUAGAGCUACAACACUGGCCCCCAUAAUGCAUUCAGUUCCUCUUAACCCAAACAAUUCACACGCAGAGAAUAUGGCCACACGCAUGCCCCAUAUGAGCAUAUUGACAAAGACGAUUGAUGAGAUUGAUACAAAACAGGUACACAUUAUUGAUACAACAAAUGGAGGACUGUGCACACCUUGUAUUAAUUAGUCUUAUGUGUGUUCAUGGAGCGUAUAAGGCGAAAAUCAAGGGGCAAGGGAAGAUAUGAAUUAUGUUAACAACUAAAGAGGUCAGAAACAAGGAGCACGUCAGUGGAGACCGCUACAAAAUAAGUAGUACAUGCCUAAUAUACAAUAGCUUGGAGGUAUGCAUCCUCAGAACCAAAUGGUGCCAGUACCAUAUCAGAAACCACAGGGCUAUCCACAGCAAAACCAACAACAAUUAGCUUAUCAACCACCUCCUCAGCAACAAGAUAACAAUAUGGUGGAAAUCAAGGGUAUGCUUCAGCAACUCACUGGGACAAAUAAUAAAGUGCAGGAAAAAUUGGCAGUGCAUGAUUCAGCCAUAAAGAAUAUUGAAAUGCAGUUGGGACAUAUGUCCAUGGAUUUGAACAACCGUCAUUAGGAAACCCUGCAUGCAAACACUAACAUAAACCCCAAAGAGCAAAACCCAAAUUAGUUGAUGACAAUCAGUCUCCGAAACGGGAGAGAUUUAGACAAAGAGCAGGAAAUUGCACAAGUCAGUAAUGAUACUGCACCAGCCACUCUAGUUCCGUUAGAGGUGGAGGAACCAACAAAACUUACUGAAGUGGUGGUUGAGAAGAGUCAGGAGGAAAAAGGCAAAGAGAAGAUGGAUGAGAAAGCUAAAGAACAGGUGGCACCUCUUGUGCCAGAAAAUUCCAACAGAGAGAAGCCAAUAAGCAAUGCACAAAAGGUGAUACGUGCACCCUUCCCUCAGAGACUGGUUAAACAAAAGAAGGAAGUUCAAUACCAGAAAUUUAUGGAGAUGUUGCUUCAGAUUCAGUUGAAUAAUCCUUUGAUGGAUGCUUUGAGGGAUGUCUGGUUAUGCAAAGAUGAUGAAAGAUUUAUUGUCACGAAUGUUUGAUUUUCAGGAUCUUUCAAAUGUGACUCUCAUAUAUACCUGCAACACAGUAGUGACAAGAUCGAUGGCUCAAAAGAUGUCUGAUCCAGGUAGUUUCACUAUUCUGUGCACAAUUGGGAGCUACCCUUUACGAAGGCCUUAUGCGAUUUGGGGGCCAGCAUCAAUUUGAUGUCACUGGCUGUGUACACUAAGUUGGGCAUCGGCAGAGCUAGAACGACUUCUAUGUUACUAUAGUUGGCUGAUCGUACGGUGAAAAGGCCAACUGGUAUUCUUGAUGAUGUGUUGGUGCAGGUAGGGAAGUUCGUGUUCCCAGCAGACUUUGUUAUCCUAGACUUCCAGGUAGAUGAGGAGAUACCUCUCAUUCUGGGUAGACAAGUUUUAGCAACUGGCAUAGCACUAAUCGAUUAUGAGACUGUGCAACUAAAAAUGAGAUUGAAUGAUAAAGAAGACAUAUUCAAUGUUCAGCAAUCUAUGAGAAGACCCAGCGAAUAUGAUAAUUGCUCUUUAGUGGAUGCAGUAAAUGUGAUUCUACAAAAGGACGACGCGGCCCUAACUGUGAAAGACCCAUUGAAUGUAUGUCUGAAAAAUCUAGAAAAGAUAGAUAGUGAAGGAUUAGUUGAAUGGGUCAUGGCACUUGAAGGCCGAGGAUUCUAGACAAGGGAACCUCAAUUUGAGUCCCUUGAAUUAGAAAAAAGGGCUACACCUCCAGCAAAGCCAUCAAUAGAAAAACCACCCAAACUGGAGCUAAAGCCACUCCCAAAUCACCUCCGGUAUGUGUUCUUGGGCCUUGAUUCGACCUUGCCUGUUAUUAUAUCAUCCGGUUUGCUAGAUGUGCAGGUAGAACGGCUCUUACAGGUACUACAAGAAAACAAGACUGCCAUUUGUGUUCUUGGUCCCUGAUUCGACCUUGCAUGUUAUUAUAUCAUCGGGUUUGCUAAAUGUACAGGUAGAACGGCUCUUACAUGUAGUGCGAGAAAAC
rnacentral:lncRNA from 1 species